rnacentral:rRNA from 1 species
CCUACGGGUGGCAGCAGUGGGGGAUAUUGCACAAUGGGGGAAACCCUGAUGCAGCGACGCCGCGUGGGUGAAGAAGCGCCUCGGCGCGUAAAGCCCUGUCAGCAGGGAAGAAAAUGACGGUACCUGAAGAAGAAGCCCCGGCUAACUACGUGCCAGCAGCCGCGGUAAUACGUAGGGGGCAAGCGUUAUGCGGAUUUACUGGGUGUAAAGGGGGCGCAGACGGCGAUGCAAGCCAGGAGUGAAAGCCCGGGGCCCAACCCCGGGACUGCUCUUGGAACUGCGUGGCUAGAGUGCAGGAGGGGCAGGCGGAAGUCGGGGUGUAGCGGUGAAAUGCGUAGAUAUCAGGAGGAACACCGGUGGCGAAGGCGGCCUGCUGGACUGCAACUGACGUUGAGGCCCGAAAGCGUGGGGAGCAAACAGGAUUAGAUACCCCAGUAGUC